rnacentral:lncRNA from 1 species
CCCAUCUCUAGAAACAUUUUUUUUAAAUUAUCCAGGUGUGGUGGUGCACGGCUGUAGUUGCAGCUACUCAGGAGGCUAAGGCAGGAGAAUCACAUGAAUCCAGGUGUUUGAGGCUGCAGUGAGCCAUGAUCACACCACUGCACUCUAACCUGCAUGCAGAGUGAGACUCUUUCUCAAAGAAAAAAAAAAUUUAGAGGUGAUGGUAGUAACAAUAUUGUUACCACUACUACAAAUACGUUACAAAGAUAGUAAAAUAUUGACAGUGUUUAAGUUGGAUGAUAGGUACUCAGGGGUUUAUUAUCAAUUCUUUGUACUUUAUGUUUGAAAUUUUCCAUGAUCAAAACAAUUACAUUUUAAAAAAUAAAUGCUUGAAGGAAAAAACUCUUUAAAGAAGAAGGUGACUCAUUAGAAUGAGAAAGAUUGGCCCCAGUUUAUCUCUAUUUUAAGGUCAGGUUUCCAUUCUGGAUUUGUAUAACAUGGGAUAGACUGAAUGAAUAUGUUGUAAGAUGCCCAUGAACAGUGACGUGUGCCGUAGUUCACUUCUAUGUCCCACUGUAGUUCAGGAUAGUACCCCAGCCCUUAUUCUAUCCUACAGCAAGUGUGUCUCCUUGGGCUAGUGAGAGCAGGAUUAAAUUUGGUUCUCUGCAUGACCCACCCCCCACCCUCCCCCACUAACAUGUUUUUCUAAUUUAUUUUUUUUAUUCAUGUGGCUGUUUAUUAUCACUAUGUGCCAUGCAUUAUACAAACUAUUCCAAGACAGCCUGGGCAACCUGGAGAAACCGUGUCUCUAUUAAAAAAUAAAAAAAUUAGUCAGGUGUAGCGGUGUGCACCCAUAGUCCUAGUUACUUGGGUGACUGCAGUGGGAGGAUCACCCGAGUCCGAGAGGUUGAGGCUGCAGUGAGCUGUGAUUGCGCCACUGCACCCCAGCAACCUAACCCCCAACCCCCCCCCCCCCCACAAAAAAACACCAAAAUAUUUCAAGAGCUCUGAGGAGCUGAUAAUUGAGGUUGGUGGGGAGGGAGGGGGAAGGGAGGAGGAGGGAAGGUUGUGCUAGAGACAUUUACAUAAGUAACUGUAUUACAAGGUAGAAGUGGGUAAGUACUAUAAGGGAAUCUCGAGUGUUGGAGAAUUGGAGGAGAAUCACAAGGAAUGUUAUAGUAUGGGAAAGUGGCAUUCCAGCUAAAUCGUGAGGGGUGCUGUAUUCAUGUGAAUGACGGGAAGGAGUAUUCCUGGAGAGGGGAAGAGCAAAUGGAAAAGCACGAAGCAACUCUGACAUAUGGAAGUUCUUGAGAUCGACAAUGGCUGACUACAGGAGCUAUCUGGAAAUGCCACAAAGCAAUUUUUUCCCCUAGAAAUACAUGUGCACAGAAAGAACCAUCCAGCUUGGCGUCAAGGUUUACUAUGCUUUCCACAGUUCCUGCUGUCUGGAAGGGCCAUAAAGCAUGGUCUCACUAGUUGAGACUAACUGGGAGUAUCUGAAUUGUUAAAAAAUCAAAAUUACCGGAACUUUAAAAAAAAAAAUGCAGUUUUGUUGCUUUAAGGAAAGACAGUUCCAACACACUUUUGUGAAGACAUCCUGCCAGAACGAUUGUAACGAUUGUAACGAAUGGAAAGCAGCUCUGAUGAUCUCAUUCAUUGGCUGAAUGUGAACAGCCCCUCCCCAUCCUCCUACUCUGCCUUUUUCCCCCACCUAACAUUUGUCAGGAACUGAAAUAGUUAUUGCCUCAUCCACCAGAAUGUAAGCUCCCGUGAGGGCAUGAGAUUUACUCCUCUCUUCCCUAAACCCUGAAAUAUUCUUUUUACUUUAUUAAUUUGAAUAUUUAAACUACAGGAAGGGGCCAAGUGCAGUGGCUCAUGCCUGUCAUCCCAGCACUUUGGGAGGCUGAGGCAGGUGGAUCACCUGAGGUCAAGAGUUCGAGACCAGCCUGGCCCUCACGGUGAAACCCUGUCUCUAUUAAAAAUACAAAAAUUAGCUGAGCAUAGUGCCAUGUGCCUGUAGUCCCAGCUACUCAGGAGGCUGAGGCAGGAGAAUCACUUCAACCAGGGAGGCAGAGGUUGCAGUGAGCCGAAAUUGUGCCACUACACUCCAACCUGGGUGACAGAGUAAGACUCUGUCAAAAAAAAAAAAAAAAUUUACUGAAAGGGACUUUAGAUAGCUACACCAAUCAGAUUCUAAUUCUUGGGAAAUCAACUUGAGAAAUUCAGAGAAAAUUAGGCAGUUAGUGGCAGAAGAUAAGGCUGAAGAGAUAUGCAGGUUGGAAUUAUGAAUUAGAAUUAAGUCAACUUAAUUAUAUAUAUAGUUACUAAGUCUAUUAAUAGCAGGGGAAUAAAAAUAAUAAUAACCAGAGCAGUUAACAUUUUCUGAACACCUGAUCAGUGUUCGGAAUGUGUUACCCAAGCAACCGUGAGGAAGGUAUUAUUAUUAAGCCCAUUUUACAGAUGAGGAUAUACAGAGUGAUUCAUUUGUCCAAAUCCACACAGCUAAUGGGUGGCAAGGUGGAAUUUGAACCUAGGUGAGCUAGAUCCAGCAUCCAGGCUGUUAACCUGGUCCCAAGAAAGAAUCUUUGACUCUAGGCUGCUGCAGUUCUAAAGCAGAAUAGGAAGCAACUCCCCUUCCUGAGGCCCUGAUAUAGCUCAGUUUCCAUUCUUAGAUUCUUGCGAGUUGUUUUCCAUAUGACUUCAUAGUUAUUUAUCUUUUUAGUAACUUCCUUUUUCAUCAAAUAGCUUGAAUUCUUACAACCAAAAGAACCUAGUUAGAACACCUUGAUUUUAUACUUCUCUUGAAGCCUGUUUUAUGUAAUCACACAUCACCCAGAAAAAAAAUAUCCAACU